rnacentral:rRNA from 1 species
UGAGUAACGCGUGGGUAACCUGCCUUAUACAGGGGGAUAACAGUCAGAAAUGGCUGCUAAUACCGCAUAAGCGCACAGAGCUGCAUGGCUCAGUGUGAAAAACUCCGGUGGUAUAAGAUGGACCCGCGUUGGAUUAGCUAGUUGGUGGGGUAACGGCCCACCAAGGCGACGAUCCCUAGCUGGUCUGAGAGGAUGACCAGCCACACUGGAACUGAGACACGGUCCAGACUCCUACGGGAGGCAGCAUG